rnacentral:rRNA from 1 species
GUGCCAGCAGCCGCGGUAAUACAGAGGUGGCAAGCGUUGUUCGGAAUUACUGGGCGUAAAGGGCGCGUAGGCGGCCUACUAAGUCAGACGUGAAAUCCCCCGGCUUAACCUGGGAACUGCGUCUGAUACUGGAAGGCUUGAGGAUGGGAGAGGGAUGUAGAAUUCCAGGUGUAGCGGUGAAAUGCGUAGAUAUCUGGAGGAAUACCGGUGGCGAAGGCGGCAUCCUGGACCAUUACUGACGCUGAGGCGCGAAAGCUAGGGGAGCAAACGGGAUUAGAUACCCUAGUAGUCC